rnacentral:rRNA from 1 species
GAUGAACGCUGGCGGCGUGCCUAAUACAUGCAAGUCGAGCGAACGGACGAGAAGCUUGCUUCUCUGAUGUUAGCGGCGGACGGGUGAGUAACACGUGGAUAACCUACCUAUAAGACUGAGAUAACUUCGGGAAACCGGAGCUAAUACCGGAUAAUAUUUUGAACCGCAUGGUUCAAAAGUGAAAGACGGUCUUGCUGUCACUUAUAGAUGGAUCCGCGCUGCAUUAGCUAGUUGGUAAGGUAACGGCUUACCAAGGCAACGAUGCAUAGCCGACCUGAGAGGGUGAUCGGCCACACUGGAACUGAGACACGGUCCAGACUCCUACGGGAGGCAGCAGUAGGGAAUCUUCCGCAAUGGGUGAAAGCCUGACGGAGCAACGCCGCGUGAGUGAUGAAGGUCUUCGGAUCGUAAAACUCUGUUAUUAGGGAAGAACAUAUGUGUAAGUAACUGUGCACAUCUUGACGGUACCUAAUCAGAAAGCCACGGCUAACUACGUG